GAUGAACGCUGGCGGCGUGCCUCAAACAUGCAAGUCGAGCGGGGCUAUGUAAUAUCGCAAGGUAGAACAUAGCCUAGCGGCGAACGGGUGAGUAACACGUGGGUAACCUGCCUGGAAGACAGGGAUAACGAUUCGAAAGGGUCGCUAAUACCUGAUAAUAUCCUUUCAUCGCAUGGUGAUAGGAAGAAAGGGGAAACCCGCUUUCAGAUGGGCCCGCGUCCCAUCAGCUAGUUGGUAAGGUAAAGGCUUACCAAGGCGACGACGGGUAGCCGGUCUGAGAGGAUGUACGGCCACACUGGGACUGAGAUACGGCCCAGACUCCUACGGGAGGCAGCAGUGGGGAAUCUUCCACAAUGGGCGAAAGCCUGAUGGAGCGACGCCGCGUGAGCGAAGAAGGCCUUCGGUUGUAAAGCUCUGUCUGGAGGGACGAAGGGAAGUGACGGUACCGUCCGGACGGAAGCCACGGCUAACUACGUGCCAGCAGCCGCGGUAAGAGUGUACA
rnacentral:rRNA from 1 species